rnacentral:rRNA from 1 species
CCCUUAGAUGUUCUGGGCUGCACGCGCGCUACACUGAAGCUAUCAACACGUUUUCCCUCCCUGAGAAGGGCGGGUAACCUUUUGAAUCAGCUUCGUGGUAGGGAUCGGGGCUUGCAAUUGUUCCCCGUGAACCAGGAAUUCCUAGUAGACGCGAGUCAUAAGCUCGCAUCGAUUAAGUCCCUGCCCUUUGUACACACCGCCCGUCGCUACUACCGAUUGAAUGUUUUAGUGAGGCAUUUGGACCGACGCAUCUCAGUUUAACCGCUGGUUUGUGUUGGAAAGACUUCCAAACUUGAGCGUUUAGAGGAAGUAAAAGUCGUAACA